rnacentral:rRNA from 1 species
UGCGGAAGGAUCAUUAUUGAAAUAAACCUGAUAGGUUGUUGCUGGUUCUCUUGGGAGCAUGUGCACACUUUGUCAUCUUUAUAUCUUCACCUGUGCACCUUUUGUAAAUCUUGAAUAUCUUUCUGAAUCCGCUUGGCGUAUUCAGGUUUGAGGAUUGAUUUUUUUCUUUCCUUACAUUUUCAGGUUUAUGUUUUUCAUAUACCACAAGUAUGUUAUAGAAUGUUAUAAACGGGCCUUUGUGCCUAUAAAUUUUAUACAACUUUCAGCAACGGAUCUCUUGGCUCUCGCAUCGAUGAAGAACGCAGCGAAAUGCGAUAAGUAAUGUGAAUUGCAGAAUUCAGUGAAUCAUCGAAUCUUUGAACGCACCUUGCGCUCCUUGGUAUUCCGAGGAGCAUGCCUGUUUGAGUGUCAUUAAUAUAUCAACCUCUUCAGCUUUUUUGCAUGUUGAGUGUUUGGAUGUGGGGGUAUUUUUUGCUGGACUCUAGAAUCCUGAGGUCAGCUCCCCUAAAAUGCAUCAGCGAAACAAUUUGUUUACCGCUCAUUGGUGUGAUAACUUAUCUACGCUAUUGACGGUGAAGCAUGGUUUAGCUCCUAACCGUCCAUUAACUUGGACAAUCUCUUAUUAAUGUGACCUCAAAUCAGGUAGGACUACCCGCUGAACUUAAGCAUAUCAAUAAGCGGAGGAAAAGAAACUAACAAGGAUUCCCCUAGUAACUGCGAGUGAAGCGGGAAAAGCUCAAAUUUAAAAUCUGGCAGUCUCUGGCUGU